rnacentral:rRNA from 1 species
CCUACGGGAGGCAGCAGUGGGGAAUAUUGGGCAAUGGGCGCAAGCCUGACCCAGCAACGCCGCGUGAAGGAAGAAGGCUUUCGGGUUGUAAACUUCUUUUCUCAGGGGCGAAGCAAGUGACGGUACCUGAGGAAUAAGCCACGGCUAACUACGUGCCAGCAGCCGCGGUAAUACGUAGGUGGCAAGCGUUAUCCGGAUUUACUGGGUGUAAAGGGCGUGUAGGCGGGAAAGCAAGUCAGAUGUGAAAACUCAGGGCUCAACCCUGAGCCUGCAUUUGAAACUGGUUUUCUUGAGUGCUGGAGAGGCAAUCGGAAUUCCGUGUGUAGCGGUGAAAUGCGUAGAUAGACGGAGGAACACCAGUGGCGAAGGCGGAUUGCUGGACAGUAACUGACGCUCAGGCACGAAAGCGUGGGUAUCGAACAGAAUUAGAUACCCCUGUAGUC